GCUGGAGGUCAGAGCCAGCAGCUUACCAGGCUCUGGGAAGGAACCUCCUCUCCAUGCAGGGCUCUCUGGAAUGACCUGAAGACAGGAGCUGACCUCAAGGAGACAGGAUUAUUGCAGUAAGGGGAAAGAGACUAUUGCGAUGUGGAAAACACCCCAGCCAUAGAGCUGCAAGCAUCUCACAGGCCAUGAAAAAAGGAAUUGUCUUCACAGGGAAGAACAGAGGCCCAGUGUAUGAAGUGUGUGCACUGGGGGUG